GCCUGGCUGGCUCAGUGGGUAGAGCAUAUGACUCCAGAUCUUGGGGUUGUGAGUUUGAGUCCCACACUGGGUA
rnacentral:tRNA from 1 species